rnacentral:rRNA from 1 species
AUACCGCCUUGAGAAUGCCUGGUCUCAUCAGCUAAGCAAGGUUGGGUCUGGUUAGUACUUGAAUGGGAGACCGCUGGGAAUAUCAGGUA